rnacentral:rRNA from 1 species
GAUGAACGCUGGCGGCGUGCCUAACACAUGCAAGUCGAGCGGCCGCGAGGGGUGCUUGCUCCCUGUCGGCGAGCGGCGGACGGCUGAGUAACGCGUGGGAACGUUCCCCAUAGUGAUGAAUAACUGCCCGAAAGGGUAGCUAAUACCGCAUAUUAUCUUCGGAUCAAAGGAUUUAUCCGCUUUGGGAGCGGCUCGAGUCGGAUUAGGUAGUUGGUGAGGUAAUGGCUCACCAAGCCGACGAUCCGUAGCUGGUAUGAGAGGAUGGCCAGCCAGACUGGAACUGAGACACGGUCCAGACUCCUACGGGAGGGAGGAGUGAGGAAUCUUCCAAAAUGGGCUAAAGCAUGAUGGAGCAACGCCGCGUGAAGGACGAAGGCAUUCGGGUUGUAAACUGCUUUUAUAAGUGAGGAAUAUGACGGUACCUGAUGAAUAAGGCUCGGCUAACUACGUG